AUUGAACGCUGGCGGCAGGCCUAACACAUGCAAGUCGAACGAGUGGCGGACGGGUGAGUAAUGUCUGGGAAACUGCCCGAUGGAGGGGGAUAACUACUGGAAACGGUAGCUAAUACCGCCUACCAUUGGCUUUGCCCAGAUGGGAUUAGCUAGUAGGUGGGGUAACGGCUCACCUAGGCCACGAUCCCUAGCUGGUCUGAGAGGAUGGCAGGCCAAACUGGAACGUAGGCACGGUCCAGACGCCUACGGGAGGAAGCGGGGGGGAAUAUUGCACAAUGGGCGCAAGCCGGAAGCAGCCAUGCCGCGUGGAUGAAGAGGGCCUUCAGGUUGUAAAGUACUUUCAGCGAGGAGGCGUUACUCGCAGAAGAAGCACCGGCUAACUCCGUGCCAGCCGCCGCGGUAAUAC
rnacentral:rRNA from 1 species